GCGUAAGAGCGUUGGGGGCGGAAGUGACGAGAAGGUGGUAGUCGGGUAGUUGGCGGGUGGUUGAGUAGAACCGGUCGCCAUGUCCGCGGGGAGCGCGACACAUCCUGGAGCUGGCGGGCGACGCAGCAAAUGGGACCAACCAGCUCCAGCCCCACUUCUCUUCCUCCCGCCAGCGGCCCCAGGUGGGGAGGUCACCAGCAGUGGGGGAAGUCCUGGGGGCACCACAGCUGCUCCUUCAGGUGCUUUGGAUGCUGCUGCUGCUGUGGCUGCCAAGAUCAAUGCCAUGCUCAUGGCAAAAGGAAAGCUGAAACCAACACAGAAUGCUUCUGAGAAGCUUCAGGCUCCUGGCAAAGGCCUAACUAGCAAUAAAAGCAAGGAUGACCUGGUGGUAGCUGAAGUAGAAAUUAAUGAUGUGCCUCUCACAUGUAGGAACUUGCUGACUCGAGGACAGACUCAAGAUGAGAUCAGCCGCCUUAGUGGGGCUGCAGUAUCAACUCGAGGGAGGUUCAUGACAACUGAGGAAAAAGCCAAAGUGGGACCAGGGGAUCGUCCAUUAUAUCUUCAUGUUCAGGGCCAGACACGGGAAUUAGUGGACAGAGCUGUAAACCGGAUCAAAGAAAUUAUCACCAAUGGAGUGGUAAAAGCUGCCACAGGAACAAGUCCGACUUUUAAUGGUGCAACAGUAACUGUCUAUCACCAGCCAGCACCUAUCGCUCAGUUGUCUCCAGCUGUUAGCCAGAAGCCUCCCUUCCAGUCAGGGAUGCAUUAUGUUCAAGAUAAAUUAUUUGUGGGUCUAGAACAUGCUGUGCCCACUUUUAACGUCAAGGAGAAAGUGGAAGGUCCAGGCUGCUCCUAUUUGCAGCACAUUCAGAUUGAAACAGGUGCCAAAGUCUUCCUGCGGGGCAAAGGUUCAGGCUGCAUUGAGCCAGCAUCUGGCCGAGAAGCUUUUGAGCCUAUGUAUAUUUACAUCAGUCACCCCAAACCAGAAGGCCUGGCUGCUGCCAAGAAGCUUUGUGAGAAUCUUUUGCAAACAGUUCAUGCUGAAUAUUCUAGAUUUGUGAAUCAGAUUAAUACUGCUGUACCUUUACCAGGCUAUACACAACCCUCUGCUAUAAGUAGUGUCCCUCCUCAACCACCAUAUUAUCCAUCCAAUGGCUAUCAGUCUGGUUACCCUGUUGUUCCCCCUCCUCAGCAGCCAGUUCAACCUCCCUACGGAGUACCAAGCAUAGUGCCACCAGCUGUUUCAUUAGCACCUGGAGUCUUGCCGGCAUUACCUACUGGAGUUCCACCUGUGCCAACACAAUACCCGAUAACACAAGUGCAGCCUCCAGCUAGCACUGGACAGAGUCCGAUGGGUGGUCCUUUUAUUCCUGCUGCUCCUGUCAAAACUGCCUUGCCUGCUGGCCCCCAGCCCCAGCCCCAGCCCCAGCCCCCACUCCCAAGUCAGCCCCAGGCACAGAAGAGACGAUUCACAGAGGAGCUACCAGAUGAACGGGAAUCUGGACUGCUUGGAUACCAGGUACAGGCUUCUCCAGUCAGAAUGAGAUUGAAGGUGCAGGAUCGAAGCCAGCAAGUUCCUCAGGCAAAGAGAGAGAGAGGGACAGGCAGUUGAUGCCUCCACCAGCCUUUCCAGUGACUGGAAUAAAAACAGAAUCCGAUGAAAGGAAUGGGUCUGGGACCUUAACAGGGAGCCAUGAUUAUCCAGCCAAGAAGAUGAAAACUACAGAGAAGGGAUUUGGCUUGGUGGCUUAUGCCGCAGAUUCAUCUGAUGAAGAGGAGGAACAUGGAGGUCAUAAAAAUGCAAGUAGUUUUCCACAGGGCUGGAGUUUGGGAUACCAAUAUCCUUCAUCACAACCACGAGCUAAACAACAGAUGCCAUUCUGGAUGGCUCCCUAGGAAACAGUGGAACAGAGUUUUGACCCUCAGUGACUCUUCUUAGCAAUAAUGCAUGCAUUUGAUUUAACAAGACUCUGGGGCCUGUGCUGGGAACCAACCUGGACUUUGCAGAAGUUUGAGAUUCAGUGCCGCCCUUUCUUAAAGGGGUUCCUUAACAACAACAACAACAAAAAUCCUUAUUUCUGCAGUGGCAUAGAAUCUGUUAAAAUUUAAUUAGAAUCACAAACUUAUCUCAGAAGCUUUUUAACAGUUCGUGAAAUGUGCUUGUCCAACAAAGCAUUCUAACAGGGUCGUUCCCAUACACAUUUGACCUGGUCCAGCCUUUUCCAAAUGAAUAGACCCAAUUCUGACAUAAAGAAAGUUUUAUUUGUAUUUUACUACUGUUUGGUCAAUUUUGAUACAUAACUGGUUACAAACAGAGCCUUACUAUUUAUUAGUGGGGAAAUUAUUUUAAGACCGUCCUUUUCAGUAUUUAAUUCUGACAGAUCUGCAUCCCUGUUUCAUUUUGGAUUCUUUCUGUUUUGGAAAAUGCUGUCUCAUUUAAAACUGUUGGAUAUAGCUGGAUCCUGGAUAGGAAAAUGAAGUUAUUUUUUCAUUGUUGUUUUUAAUUGGGGUGAUCCAGAGCUGGCACCUUCAGGCACAUUGGUCUCAUAGCCAUUACUGUUUUUAUUGCCCUUCUAAGAUCCUGUCUUCAGCUGGGUCAGAGAAAACUUCCUGACUAAAACUGGUCAGAACUCAUCACAGAAAUGAAACACAGUGGUCUGUCUCUCUCAGAACUGGUUGCAGCUAAAAUAGAGAGAUCUGACUGCUGGCUAUAGGAUUUUGGACUUAAUGACUGAAAUUGCAACUUGUCCUUUUUCUUGGCAUUACAGGUUUUGCCAAAAGAACUUUUUUUGUAUCAAAUAUUGAUGUGUGAAAGUGAAGGAGCUAGUCUGCUGAACCAGGAAUAGUUUGAGAUAUUGAACUGUCAUUUUUGCACAUUUGAAUACUUUGCAGGCUGGCUUUGUAUAAACUUAUCCUCUGGUUUCCUAUACGUUGUAAAUAUGUAGACCAUAAUUUCAUUAUAAAUAAAUGUAUAAAUAUUA